CCCAUCCCCACCACCAAUUCCAAACCCUCACGGCCAAACAAAUCACUCACACAGAUCGCCCGUUCCCAUCAUCGACCCCGGCCUCAUUUGGUGCCCUUGGUGGUGAGCCCGAAGCCGAACGGGAACAGCGGGUCGUAGUGCUUGUCGCCGACGCUCAUCGGCAGCUGGUCCACGGACUUGAACCACGUCCGCGACAGCUUCCCCGUGAACCCGUAGUCGCCGAACAGCACGUCGGCGACGCCCUGGCCCUCCGACCCCGGCAGCCACGCCGCCACGAACGCGUCCAUGUCGCCCAGGUACGGCUCCACCACCAGCGGCCUGCCGGAGAUGAGGACCACCACGCACUUGGUGGCCUUACACACCGACUGGAUCACGCUCGGCCCCGGCGCCGGGAUCGUCAGGUUCAGGUUGUCGCCGAACGUCUCCGCGUACGGCGGCUCCCCGACCACCACCACCGCGUAGUCGUACUUGUCGGCGAGGACGGUGCUGUCAGGGUUCUCGGAGUAGACCACCUGCGUGCUGGGAUCAAUGGUGGCCUUGAUUCCUUCCAGGAUCGUCGUGCCUGCAGUUCCAUCGCAAGUCGUUGUUCAGGAAUCGUUGUCUGAAAUACACAGUAGCUGCAAAGCGAAACAACGGAAAAGGAGGCGCCACUCACCGGCGGUGAUGUUGUUGCCGGGCUGUCCUUGCCAGGUGAUCGUCCAUCCUCCGCACUGGUUGCCCAAGUUGUCGGCGUGGCUACCGGCGACCAGGAUCUUACCGGCCUUCUUCGGGAGGGGCAGCAACGGAGAGU
rnacentral:lncRNA from 1 species